GGUGACUUUCUUCACUAAAGAUGGCUGACAAAACAUUAUGGGGGAAGCAAAUGGGCUCCUGAUAGAACCAACAAACCAGGCUGUCGUCUUGAAACAGUGAAUGUAAAGAAUCUAGCUAGCUAAAGCAUUUACUUCAAAUUGAAUGUACAAUUGCGGCUGAAGUAACAUUGCUAGCUAACUAUUUACUUGCUUAUUGUGUAGUGGAGGAGAAAAAUAACUGUAUGCCUAUGGAUGUGUAUGAACAGUAUGUAGCUGAUCUGUGUAUGUACCUUAAAACGUUAGGUUCUGAACUAAUAUUCAUACCAAUCUAUGAACCUCAGCUAUCAUAUUUGUUCUAUCAACUUUAAACCUGAAUGACAUUAUUGAAGUCUAAGAAUUGAGUAGAAUAUAAUAACUUUAUUGUGUCAAGGAUGCAAGUCCAAUAUACAUGUACUGUAGUUAUUCCCACGCAUGAGAUCCCCACAUUGUAGCCUGUACAUUGAAUAUAUUCACUGAUCAUGUACUCUUCCUUGACAAAUGAAGGUGCGGUUCAGGUAUGAAUCUCUGUGACACGUUAUUUUUCAGUCAUAUCCAAUACCAGGUGUAUCAAACUCCAUUCUUUGAAUGAUGCUGUGUCUGCAUGUAUGUAUUACAAUUAUACACUUCAACAGUGUUUACCGCUCCUGGGACAUCAAUGAUUACAUAGCUAGAUUACAUAACUAUGCAGAUUACUUAACACAGAAACGAUAGGAGGGAGGUUGGUCGGGAUGGGUGGCAUAUACUGCGACCGUAUGAUAAGUUACUUCAUCCAAUUCGUAUGCUAUUGUACGCCCGGGUAAGACGUAUGAUACUAUACGUCCUGUAAUUCAUAUGAUAUUGUACAACUGCUAUUCCAUUCAUAAUGUAACCUAGCGUAAGCUAAUGUAUCAUACUAAAUGGAAGAUGGAAGGGGAACAGAUUUACAUACCAAAUCUUACAAAUUGCCAUGAGGCCAGGUGGAAAUGUGAUCCAUAUGCAGCAGUAGAUUUUUUACAUCCCCAAAAAUAUGCCCAUAUUUUAUGACUUGUAAUAUCUUUAUGUACACUGUAUAUUACACUUUGUAAUAUCUCUUUGGAAAGAACAGCAAUUCCACUUUGAGGAUUUAAAAAUGGUUUGUGAACUAGAAACCAUUGAAACAUAUGAAUAGGACUACAAAGGGUGGUUAGCUUUUAGUAAUAAUAUAUGGAACCUAGAGUUCUUUUCCAUUUCAGUGUUGAUUCCAGACCAUCCCACAAGGCAACUCAGAAGCCUGCACUUUCUUUGGAUCUGAAAAGGUCGAAGUUCUGUCUGAUAUGCAAAGAUAGUUGACAAUGUUUCUGAAUAAAUAUUGAUAUCAUGGGCUACAUUCUUCUUUUGUAAAACAGAUAAGAUG
ensembl:lncRNA